GGAAAGGCAGUUUAAACAGCGAGACUGCAAGACUGCUGAGAGGAGAAGGGAGAUGUCAAUUUUGAUUCAGAAGGAAGAGCUUCUAAAAACUCACCUUCUGAGCUGUGCAGACUUUGCUGCAGCACAGAAGGUUACUGAGUGACUCAAACCAACUCAAACCAAGCCUGGAAGCAAGAUACACUUGCAAAGACAUAUGAGGCAAUGGCUCCAAAGGAGGACUAGAGAUUUCAGUGCAAUCCAUGGGUAAACUGGCUUAUAUGGAGUGAAAUAUGCUUCUGCCUUCAGUAAAUUUGACAAAUUUGACAAAUUUUCUGAAAGAGAAAGCCUCUUCCCUUCAACAUUCAGUAUAUUCUGGAUUCUAAAAUACUGGAGAAUCUGAAAGAGUGAGAUUUUCAUGUUCUGUCCACUUGAAAGGUACUGAAAAAUUUGGAAGAAAUUUUGCUUUGUGGAGGAUCUGAAGACAAAAAAUGUGCAGUCUUUGGAAGGCACACUGGGUUGCUGUCGUCAUUUAUCUACUUAAAAGCUCUGUGAAGAAGGAAUCCAGAGAAUAGCAGAGCUGCUCCACAUCACUGUAAAUUGUUUGUUCUGAGGAUGCACCAAACCUUGAAAACUGGGGAUGCUGAAGUCUAAGUUUCAGAAUCUCUAGGAAAACGCCAUAUGCAAUGAGAAACCCAGUUUGCAAUGGAGACGAAUGCAUCAAAAUGCAACGGUGUUUCUCAAAACUUCGUUGCCAGUGCUCUGCCUUACCCUCUCCCGCAUUGCUGAUGACGUCUCAGCAGCAGCCCCACGAGCUGAGGAGCAUGAAACAUUUGCAGCCGGCAACAUCUGAUGAUAACCUUGACUGUGACAGACAUCACUGAUACCGCUCCGCAAGGCAGGGGCGACCCACAAGCCCAGCGCACGCAGGCCUUGCAGAGCGCAAUCUCAGCUCAUUUUCUCUAAGCUAUACAAGUUCACGGACGAGCUACCUAGCCAGUCCUCCUCUCCGGUCAUGGACCUCCCAGGCUGCUGCGUGCCGCCCGCCCUCUGAGGAGGCUCCUUCGCCCCGCGCAGAGGAGGAGGAGGCGGAGGAGAAGAAGGGGAGGAAGGCGCGGCCGCAGCCGCCGCUGCCCAGCCGCCGUCCCGCAGAGCGCUGGCCGCAGGGCGCCGCGGCGGCAGCAGGAGCGCAGCCCCG